AACGAACGCUGGCGGCAUGCCUAACACAUGCAAGUCGAACGAGACCUUCGGGUCUAGUGGCGCACGGGUGCGUAACGCGUGGGAAUCUGCCCUUCGGUUCGGAAUAACUCAGGGAAACUUGAGCUAAUACCGGAUAAUGACGUAAGUCCAAAGAUUUAUCGCCGAAGGAUGAGCCCGCGUAGGAUUAGCUUGUUGGUGGGGUAAUGGCCCACCAAGGCGACGAUCCUUAGCUGGUCUGAGAGGAUGAUCAGCCACACCGGGGCUGAGACACGGCCCAGACUCCUACGGGAGGCAGCAGUGGGGAAUAUUGGACAAUGGGCGAAAGCCUGAUCCAGCAAUGCCGCGUGAGUGAUGAAGGCCUUAGGGUUGUAAAGCUCUUUUACCCGGGAUGAUAAUGACAGUACCGGGAGAAUAAGCUCCGGCUAACUCCGUG
rnacentral:rRNA from 1 species